rnacentral:rRNA from 1 species
AACAACGGAUCUCUUGGCUCUCGCAUCGAUGAAGAACGCAGCGAAAUGCGAUAAGUAAUGUGAAUUGCAGAUUUUCAGUGAAUCAUCGAAUCUUUGAACGCACCUUGCGCUCCUUGGUAUUCCGAGGAGCAUGCCUGUUUGAGUGUCAUU